GAUGAACGCUGACAGAAUGCUUAACACAUGCAAGUCUUUGGCGAAUCUGUGCUUGCACAGGCUAGCCAGGGCGGACGGGUGAGUAACGCGUAAAGAACUUGCCCUGCUGACAGGGAUAACAGACGGAAACGACUGAUAACACCUGAUACAGUUGACGGCACGCAUGUGCCUGGCCAUGAAAAGAGAUGCUGCAGGAGAGCUUUGCGUCCUAUUAGCUUGUUGGUGAGGUGACGGCUCACCAAGGCGAUGAUAGGUAGCCGGCCUGAGGGGGUGAACGGCCACAAGGGGGCGGAGAUACGGCCCUUACGCCUACGGGGGGCAGCAGUGGGGAAUAUUGGACAAUGAGGGCAGCCCUGAUCCAGCAGUUCUGUGUGCACGAAGAAGGUUUUCGGAUUGUAAAGUGCUUUCAGCAGGGAAGAAGAAAGUGACGGUACCUGCAGAAGAAGCGACGGCUAAAUACGUG
rnacentral:rRNA from 1 species